UUCUGGCUUGCAGAUGUCUGCCUUCCCACGGUGCCCUCGCAUGGUGAGAGAGAACUCUGCUAUCUCUUCCUUUUCUUCUAAGAGCACCCGUUCUCCCAGUAUUGGAGGUGUUUCCAUUUUGAAACCACAUCUCUUAACUAAACGAGUUGAUUAGAGAAAUGAGCAAAUUAACAAGGUCAAAAGAAGGUCUUGCCCUGAAGGCACAGACUUGAAGUGUUCAGCUGAUGGAGAGCUGAAUGCCAUGACAACCAGGUGCCAAGGAACUUCAGAAUCUCCAAAUGGAAGUCUCCAAAGCCCCUGAUUCACCAGAAAGAGAGAAAACCAUCCACUGGCCACCACACUGUUAUAUGAGCAGAACACAAACUCCUGUUGUGUUUGAGCCUGUAAACAUUCUGGGCAGCAGAUUAUCCUCUUUAACAUACAAAAUGAUGCCUCAAAUAUGCCUACAAACAAGUAAA